AGAGCUGAUAGUUAUAAAAACGAGAGUUUGGCUGUCUAAGUUCUCCCGCUUUGCCUGCCGCCGUUCACGUGAGACGUGACUUGCCCCUCCUUGCCAUCCGCCAUGAUUGGGAGACCUCCCCAGCCACGUGAAACUGAUCACAGGGCUCAGGUGAAGUCCAAGACUGUCAGAGGCGUGGAUAAAGUUAAAAUAUUUAACGUUCUCAGGAUAGGCUUCCGGAAUAUUCAUUCAAUUUAUAUGCGGAUAGGGUAGCCCAGGAGAAAGCUGAACGAACUGGAGUGCCACCAAUACAGUGGGGUUCAUCGGAAGUCUCUCUGCCGAAAGGUUCAGACAUGGGGAGUUGGCCCACCAGGCUCCGAUGCUGUGAUCCUUCCAGGGAAUGUCUUCUUCAAUAACAUCUCACUUCCCCCACGAAUCAUUUCUGAUUCUCAGCGUUCCACUAGAUAAUCGGGCGGGAUUGUGCUAAAAUGUGGUCACGUAAAGAUAUAUAUGAAAUCCUCAGCAUCCUUGAGGUGCCUUGUCUUGUAUUUUUAUUUAAUUGCCUUCGACUUGUAACAAUGGGGAAGUACUGAGCUGUGGAGGAACAGCGGUGGCCGGAACAGCAGACGAUGUAUCUAUUAUCUCGCGUGCAUGAGGGUCGUCGACCUAUGACAGUUGGAGUAGCAGAAACAUUAGAAAUCAUGUGCAAUUUAAUCUUUACACAAAUAAAGGAAAACUAUCACAAUGCCUGAAUAAUGAAGACUCCCGGAGAAAAAGAAAGGCCUGUCCCCGAGGAUGCUCUUCAUUUUCUCUCUGGGACUCGGCACGGCUCGCACGCGGCGAGAUUCACUCCGGGCUGACACACGUAUUAAUGGUAUUCUGGCUGGAAGAGAGUCGAUGUUCUCUGGUGAUUGCCGUGUGCAGCUGUGACUCAGUUCUCCUCUCCCUCACUCAUUACUGCCUCGUGUCAACUCCCAGAGACCAUUGUUCCCUGAAAAACUGUCAUCCAGAAUGAAAUGAACUGUUUUCCUUUCUAUUUCAA